ACGGAUGAAGUGCUGUGGAAGAUUUUGCCAUACUGUACAUCCACAAGUCAUCUACUCCAAAUUACUCACUUCAUGAGAUGUACUGAGUUACUACGCAGGAGAGAAGCAUUGCCAUUUUAGGUUUCUAGUACCUGAAAACUGCAGUCCUGGAAGCUGGAAUCUUUUAAAUGGAAAGCAAGACAGAAAUGACAGUGGUACACAAUGAAAGAAUAACUUCUGGGACCAGGUAUUCAAGUCUCUUAGUUCUGGAUCAAGCAAGCAAAUUAAGGUAAAACCCAGAGGGACAAAUAUACUGCACAGAUCAGCUUGGAAAGCAUCCUUUUAUAGAAACAAAUGGGGAAGUAAAACAGUGCUUUAAAAGUGCAUUAAGUAUACUUUAUUCCUCAGCUCAGAGUUAAUUCAAGCAAUAAACUCACAGAUUUCACACAAGUUAAAGCUUCCUACAAAUCUCACAACUGAGUUCCCUACUGAACCUCAGGGGAAGCUUUUAUAAUGAUAACUCCCUUCCCCCCCUCCAAGAUGACCUGGAAAUGCUUAAAGAAUUGUGCUCCUAAGACUUUUUUUUAUUAUUGUUAUUACCUGUGUUUUUCUCUGAACCAGGUAUAUAAAAGAGAGGGGAUUUCCCCUUCCACCAAUUAAAACUCAAAUCUCACCUCUCCUUUCUUCCCCCACAACAAGAAGUUAACCCCUGCUGAGCUUUUUACCCCCAAGGCAUCUAUAAAGCCUCACAGGUGAGCUUGCUGCAGUAAAUAGAAUGAAUCAGCCCCAGAUCUUCUAACAGAUAAACACCAAUCUUUUAUUCUAGCCACCUGGCUUGGGACUUAUCAGACAAGAAAAUGGCUGUGGUUCGACACACCAAAAGCAGAAGAAUCUUUCCACAGCAGUGAUUUUGCAUGAAGAACUGGAACAAUGAAGUCAGAACAGUGCAAAGAGUAAAGGUGGUCCCUCCACCCCUUUUUGUCAAUGUUUGCCCUUGUGCAUGCCACUCUCCAAGACCUUCCUGCCUUAGGACUCUUAAACUGAGAAUCUUGUCUUUUGGUUCAGGACUUGGAUUAAGUUAGAACAAGACUGUGAGGAUGCAGAAGGAAAGAACUCCUUGCUGCGGAAUCUGUGCAUGCUGUACAUGCAAGUUUAUGACAGAAUACACUGCAGGCAUCAAAUUAAACCCCAGGUUCAUCAAAGAGUGGAAGACCCAUGGGGUGUGAGGCAGCUGGGAGUGCAGAGAAGAUGAGCACAGCUGAAAAGAGAGGAAUGUUAGGGGAUGCCUGGGGAUAUGUGGAAAGCUGAAAGGCAAGGCCUUGUGCUCUUAAUAACCAUUAUAAUAAAUUAGCAUAUGCUACAAAUAAUGCAUCAGAAAAAGGAAAAAAAGAAGCUGUCUUGUAUACCAGGACAUAAUUCUGCGACAUGUCUACUCUCUCUAGAUAAAGGUUUGAAUGGUUUUCCCAAGAAGAAGCUUUAUGCAAAUGCAUACUGUCAUGUGAAUCAGAUUAAGGGAAGAAAGACUAUUUAUGCAUGAAAUCCAAACAUGCUUCUGGGGAAAGGAGAAGAGAAAUAAACCCUUUCUAUCACCUCAAAUACAAUAUAUGUGCAAUGACUAAAAAGAAAUGAAUGUGUCACCUCUAUUACUGACACUAAGUGAUUUUCCACUAACAAUUAGCAUGAAUCAUAGUGAUAAAAAACUGAGAUGGAAAAGAUCUAUUAGAACACCCAGUCCACCUCCCUGUAAGUACAGGAAUCUCCCUGACAAUUUCUAUAUGAAGCAGUUCAUUGCUCAACAUUUUGUGUUUUCAUCAGUGCCACUCCACAUAGGCAUUUGCUAAGAUGACUUUACAACAACUAUCACAUACAUCUCUUCUGCACCUGAAAAAAGAAUCACAUCAAUUUUGAUCUUCCAGAACAACAUCCUUCUGGAGAGGCUUGUGGUCCUGGAACUUUAAAUACAAUGGGUUGUCUUUGUUUUCAUGAAGCACAGAAGAUGUACAAAAUGUUCCUGUAUUCAACAGCAGCAUAGAAAGUAAGCAAAGGAUGACACUUGGCUACGGUGAAAUAAAAAUAAUGUAGCUGAAGAAUUUUGGGUAACACCAAACUGGACUCUACUCAGUGGGAAACUGAGCAUGAGCAUAUGAAGGUGUUUGUGGUUGCCAGGUUUUGGGGAUUGUUCUAUGCCAUGUUUACCCAAAGGGUAGGCUAGAAUGGUUCCUCAGAUUGCUCCCAUUAGGGAAUAGCCUUCAAAAUCAUUUGUUCCUGCUCCCUUUUCUCCCUGCACCUGUCCCUUCUGCUGGUCUGUAUGGGAGUCAAUGACAUACGUCUGUCUGUGCUGCCUCUGCUCCUGUCAAACAUCUUUCAAGCAGAGGGCAUCUCUCAGUCAGCAGCAAAACAUUAGGGCCACAAUCUAGCUCUCUGUAACCAGUGGGCCAAGCUUCACUAUGAAUUUAGGAUCGAGUUUGGCACUGAUUUCAUUUUUAGUAGUGUAAUAGAGAUAUAACAUUAGAAACAGAAUUGUCUGAGAGUGCCUUUGAAAGUAGACAGUGUCUGAAGCAUGCCUGGAAGUUAACUCACAUGCAGCUUGGCUUGAAAGUCCAGGCAAUGGGUUCAUUUCACUGCAAACUUGGUGUUUCCAGACUAACUGGUUUUUUAAUCUGAAUCUGUUGGUGUAUACACCAGUGUGGUUUUGUAGGCAUAUUCCAUGCACUUGGAAACUGCCUGACCAGAUUGUUAGCUGACAUCAAUUAAUUUUCCCUGCUAAUUUCUAUAGACAAUAAUUUCUCAUCCUGAGCAUUUUGCAUGAAUCUGACAUGCUAGGCUGGUUGAUUUGCUGGUCAUCCUCAGGCAUGUCAUUAUGGUAUGAUUCAAUUCCUAUCAAAGUCGACUGGAAAACUGCCUGCUGACCCCAGGGGCCACUGAAUGUACCCUGUGGAAGUAACGGCUGCAAGCAAGUGUGGAGAUAGAGAAUCAAAUGAUUUUGUGGGAGGGUUUUGUCUUUAAAAGGGUGUGUUUCAGAUGUGUGGUGAUUCUGUGUUUGUGGCAUCCUCCCACAUCCCUGCAGAGGCAGCAGCUUCUGUGCAGGAGCUGUUUCUGUCCUGGGAAAGGAGGGAUGAAACAAACCCCUUGCAUGGGUAACAUCAACUACAAGUUUUGCUUUGAUGCCUGUGGCUGAACAGAAUUCAUGUGUAUGAAGCCUGGAACAAAUGCAGAGGCUGAUCAGAUGAUCCCAGGUAGAUAGAUUUUUAAAGGAUAUUGUUCCUCUGAAAUGCAUCAAUUUGUCCCAUGUGAGCUAAAAUAAUUUAGAUACAAUUGAUCUGCUCAUGGCUUUUCUGAUUGCUUGUAAUGAUUUUUCUGGAUUACAAUGACCUAUAAGUAUUACUUGUAACAGCAGCUCUUACAAAAUUUUCAGGCAGAAAUCCGAUUUACUUUUUUAUUUAAAAUGGAUAACGGGCAUUUAAAAAUACGAGUUCCCCAGUCCUGGCACAGACCCAAUCAUGAAUGUCCUGAUACAUAUUUCGGCACAGGUCAUUUUAAAAGCAAGAAGUUUGCUGAACAAAUAUAAGCUUCCCUCAGCUCAGCAUGUCUGUCCCCAUGGACCAAUGAACUUCCCUGUGACUCAAGAUAUUUUUAAUUCUGCUCUGGACUUUCUCCAGGAAAUCCGUAAUAAUUACUAAUUGUAUUUUUGUAAGCUAAAUGAAAGGAUGCAUUCUUUCUUGAAAUUCUCCCUUAGCUUUUGCAAUUAAUUAUGUUGCUCUUUUGUGUGAUUAAUCCUUGUCUUUGUAUUACAACUUCACUUAAUCAAAUAGUACUGU